GACGAACGCUGGCGGCGUGCCUAAUACAUGCAAGUGGGACGCAAGGAAACACACUGUGCUUGCACACCGUGUUUUCUUGAGUCGCGAACGGGUGAGUAACGCGUAGGUAACCUGCCUAUUAGCGGGGGAUAACUAUUGGAAACGAUAGCUAAUACCGCAUAAUAUUAAUUAUUGCAUGAUAAUUGAUUGAAAGAUGCAAGCGCAUCACUAGUAGAUGGACCUGCGUUGUAUUAGCUAGUUGGUAAGGUAAGAGCUUACCAAGGCGACGAUACAUAGCCGACCUGAGAGGGUGAUCGGCCACACUGGGACUGAGACACGGCCCAGACUCCUACGGGAGGCAGCAGUAGGGAACUUUCGGCAAUGGACGAAAGUCUGACCGAGCAACGCCGCGUGAGUGAAGAAGGUUUUCGGAUCGUAAAGCUCCGUUGUAAGUCAAGAACGUGUGUGAGAGUG
rnacentral:rRNA from 1 species